ensembl:lncRNA
AUGCAGCUGAGACCAAUUACACCUCCACCUGGCCCCGCUCCCCCCGAGCCGCUCCGCGACUGUCCCCGCUGCAGCCGAGCCCAACUACGCACCACCACCUCUUAUCAAAGGUUUCAUUUGUGCAGCUAUCUAGUGAUGCCUCCACAUCUCCACAGUAUUGCGCGUGUAGCUGCUGAAGGGCUGCAGCUGAUGAAAAGCGACGUUGUGAGCCAUCGCCAGCCUUCCAUGAGUCUCUUUACAUCCCAGUGAACCCAGAACGCUAACAGGCCCUGGCAGUCCUCUGAAUACCACGGAGGGGCAACGCAGAUCUCCCAGUCAGAGCCGCCGUGUGAUAGGGUUGUAAACACCGGGGCUUAAUUGGGAAACUGGCCGGUGAACAGCUUGAUUUUCAUCAAGCAAUUAUUGAUACUCAAAGCCCCAUGAGCUGCAGGCUGAGAGCCUGCAGCUCAUGGAUCACCGAGGCACCGAGAUUUAACUCUUCACAACCUCGGCAGAGUCGAAUGCGAGUUAAGACUGACAUGCUGGUUGUGCAUCACGUUCUACACCUAAUCUCUUUUUUCUGCUUGUCCAAAUAAACAAUUUGGACAAUUUUCAUGGACUAUUUUGGAAUUGUCUCCUGCACGAACAUCAAGCAAUCCUGGUAUUUCGGAUCAGGUGAAACCGGUUCGGACAAGACGAGUACUGUCACGGUGUGGUUUCACUUCCUGUUGUAUUUUGUAGUUUUCUGCCACUCGUGUCCCCGGGUAACUUCACUUCCUGCCUUGUCCCGUCAUCCCCUGUGAUCGUCUAAUAGUUUCCACCUGUGUCCAAUCACCUGCACCUCCCUUGUGUAUUUAAGCAGUGUGUCUCCUGUGUCACUUGUCGCGUCAUUGUCUUUGUCACACAUGUUGCCUGCUGCUUUUCCUCCCGGUUCCUGUGUUUUGACCAUUGACUAUUAAAGUCCUUUGUGUUUCCUGUUGAACUCUGCGUCUGAGUCCUGCCUUCCACCCUCAACCCUGACAUUGUGGAAGUUUGCGUUUGUACAAUUUAUAAUUUAGGGCAGAACCAAUUGUUUCCACAGUUACCAUUACCUGUCAUUUCAAGCCGUGUGUUUUUCUCUAACUAGUCCUCAUGCUGUUUUAAUCGGCUCACAGGUGACUCAUAUUAGUUGAUAAGUCACAUUAACAUAGUUGCUAAGUUAACACAUUUGCUAUCCCACUUGAUUGCUCACAUUGAUCCAAAACAUAGAAAAUGGAUAUAUAAUAAUAAUCAUAGUGUUAAAGUUAUAAGUUACCCGUGGACAAUCUUUCCAUUUACUUCUCGGUUACUGCUGGUUACUAGUACACUCUGAAUUGAGUGAUUUACAUAAUAAACAAAUGUGUUUUUUUUUCUGCACUUUUUGUGAGAGUUUUCUCCAAUUUGUUUUCCCUGCUCCCAAGAAAUCCCCUUAUGUUUUCUAGUCAUGGCCCAAUAUGAAAUGGCGUUUUUGCCAGUGUGCCAUCCCCCUUUAACAACCCCGGUCUGCAUCAGCUGAACGACACAAAAGAGCCCGAGAGCCAUUCAGACAUGAGAUGACACACAUACAGAACAAAAGUGUCUCUCAGGGCUGCAGUGACCUGAGGGACAAGCAGGCCGAGUGCCUGUUCUUUGUCAAAGCGCAUGCUACACGCUCAAGACUCUGGAUAGCAAUUUUGUGCAGUAGUCCCAGCACUGCAGUGGGAUUAUAGAUGGGAGAUCCGGUAAGAAAGUAAGAUCUCAUUUUGCUAAAAGUGUGCACACAGUUUGAAAUCAAUGUCAAUUGAUUUAUGCAAUUUGAAAUACACGAGUUUCAGGAACAUCCGUCAAAAAAAAAAAGGCUUAUCUCAUCACCUUAACUCCAGUUACACAAACUGCAACUCUUAAAAUGUUUUAUGUGUAGUCGAGGCUGUUUUAUGCAUGUUAAAGGGUCACAUAAUUUAGGUUUCAAAAUGUCUGUCAGUGAAUGAAAAAGAAAAUGACUAUUUCCAUACAAACAGGGGAAAGAUUAGACAUGUUCCCCUUUUCAGUGCACAUGUAUUUUAGAAUGUGGAGUGCAGACCCUUUGUGAACUAACACAACCCAGUCAACUUCUGUUUUCCGCCUGUAUCAGAAAAGGCUUGAUUCAUUAAACCGUUCAGAGGUGAUUCCUCGUUCUGUCACAUUGUAACUCAACAGAAUACACCAACUCCCCUGAGAAUCUCGACCGACGCCUCGGAAACUACCUUUGUGAUGGUGCACAAUGAUUCUUUAGCGCAAGGAGGGAAAUAAAAUGGUGACAUUGAGUCAACAGUAUAAGAAAAACAAAAUAUUUUAUUAAACAUUAAAGCAUGUGAAAACUAAAAUACAAGUAGGAGGCCGAAAAUAAGCAAAUAAGCAUGUUAUAUAUAUAUAUACAGUAUAUAGCUGGGAGACUACUGAACAAAAUAAUACUGUGACACAGUGAGGUGAUUAAUGCAAGCAAAAGAUUUCAAUAUUUUUCCAUAAUAUUCGUUCCUGUAGCUACACAUUUAAAUCAAGACUGUGUUUUAGUCUGAAUUAUUAUUUAAAACAGGGAACGGACAGUUGAGUGUUAAAGGAGAUCCGUGCUACAUAAUAAUUGGUGUGUGAUUAUCUUUAACAGACAGACUGCUGUCUCCUACCACCAGAAAUGUCUCUUACGAGGCAGACGGUGACCGUACGUGACCACGGAUUACCCAAGAUGCACUUCCUUGUUUUGUUUUUUUAGACUUUUCUGGGAGUGUUUAAGUCAUUUUUCGGUUUCCUAUUUAGUUCCCUCAAAUUGAAAAAGUCUGGCUAGCAUGAGUGACUCCCCCCCCACACAGCGGCCCUUUCAGCUUCUUCUGAGUUUGGAAGUACUGGCGAAAAAGAGGAAUUUAAAAAUUCCUCAUUGACUCAAAUUUAAGUACCAUGGAAAAAUACCUUCUUGCUGCGAGCAUACCGAUGUUGCCUUUAUUCAUUUAACACACUACACCAAAGUUCUGCUGUUCACAAACCAACAAAGACGUAUUUGAAGUAGAAUCUAUCCCCAGAACACAGAAUGUUUCAUAAGAGAACUAUGCCAAGAUUAUUACGUACUUCGCUGUGGAAAUCGCUCAGAGUGACUUCAUUACAGGAAUGUGCAAUUAAGUGCUCUGGUAAAAAGCCUUUUGUAAAAAGGUUUACGCACCAACCGAUAGCUCUUCAAUGAGAGCAAGAAGCAAUGCCUUAUAUAGACUAAUCAUUGCUGUGUUCUUGCUUUCUGCCUGUUUAGACAGCGCUGGGCCCAAACAUUUCACAGGGCUGAAUCACACAAGGCUUGCCUGCAGGGGAAACUGCUUUUAUUAGCAGCCUAUUUCUGGACCCUUGUCAGAUUCCGAUACAUACCAACCCUUUAGUCACUUUUCAUUAGCGCUCACAUUCAAGAAGUCACUGAGGCCACCAUGUUAGCUUCAUACACACUCGUAUUUCAGUGUGUGUUGGCAGAACCAGUAGGUCGUGGUGAUUUGUAGUGGCCUUUUGCACAGUCCACUAAUUCUACAAGGCUUAUUUUCAUGCCACUGCUAAUGUCACAGUCACUUUUCUGCUACGAUGAUUGUAUGAUCAGUGAUCCAGUGUGAGCUCGCUGGCCUUUCCUGCAAUUAGUUCAGCUACAGACCCGAGUCAGAGAAAGGGGUGUAUUGUUAAAGCUCCCCCUCAUAGGCGAGCACGACUUAGAAUAAGGUUUCUAUGAACCAGAUGGAGGUCCCAUUAUAGCGCAGGUUUCCAUGGAGGAAAUGGGACGCAUGUGAGGGUCACUGUUGUGUAAUUUAAGUGUACGGUAUACUUACAGAAAAGGGGAAAUAUAAUAGGGUCCUUAUAACGAAAGAACAAAAUGUAGUCAGACCUAAAAAGCCCCAUCAUUGCAUAAUAUGCAACAGGUUUUUUUGUUUUUUUAGAUGAAUGCUCACAUCUUCUCACAGUAGAAAUUCGAUAAAACCUUUAGAAUGACCCUUGCGGGUAUCGAUGAGUUGAAUCCCAUUUAUCGCUGGUGCUCUGCUGGUUCUCUCCUCCCUGCUGGUAAUGGAAGGGGAGGGACUCUGCUUUUCUUGGCCUCCGCUGCAGCCACCCGGUCAACAUCAUCUCCUGACUUAACUAGGCCAUUAGCAUGGCUAGCUUGCUAGCUAGGUAACGUAGCUUUGUUACAUGCACAAACGUAAUGUUGUCUGAACAUCCACACAUUUUUUUGAUGGUUGCCAUUGACUACUGCAAAUAUUUAUUUCCCUAAAUAAGGGUCCAAUGGCUCAACAUUCUAUUCGUUUCUACGUGCAGUUGUGUAUAAAAAAAAAAAGCAGCAGGUGUAAUAUAUAGGGACACCAAUUUAAUAUAAACUCCUGGAAAGACAAAUUCCCAUGGAGGAAUGUGCUGCUUACGCUGAGGUCAUUAAUCAAACAUUGCUCGAGGUGACUGGACAGCGUAGCGCCUCAGCAGCGGCUGCGGUAUAACUUCACGACAGGGCGCUACACGCCCCGCCGGUCCGACUGCGCCCUCCGCGCUCGGUGGGCGGGGGCGGGGGGGGGGGGGGGUUUCUGUUUGGCUAAGAUGGCUCAGACACACCUGCACACAUGGUGGAACUUGUCUCAGCAAUUUUAAUGAGACUAAAUUGUAGCUGCGGUAGAUGAGUAACAAAUAGAUUUAGGAAACAUUAAUUUCCUAAUAGUAAUCGUGUCAUAUCCCCGAAAAAAUGUGAAACAUGAGAGAAAAUGAAACAUUAAAAGGAAUGUGUGACGUGCUCAUAUGCAGGCCAACAUUAACCACUUUAUAAUUUAAUAUACGGACGUUGUGAGUAGACCACAGUAUUCGAGUCACUGCACCC